CCUACGGGAGGCAGCAGUGGGGAAUAUUGGACAAUGGGCGAAAGCCUGAUCCAGCAAUGCCGCGUGAGUGAUGAAGGCCUUAGGGUUGUAAAGCUCUUUUACCAGGGAUGAUAAUGACAGUACCUGGAGAAUAAGCUCCGGCUAACUCCGUGCCAGCAGCCGCGGUAAUACGGAGGGAGCUAGCGUUGUUCGGAAUUACUGGGCGUAAAGCGUGCGUAGGCGGUGAUUCAAGUCAGAGGUGAAAGCCUGGAGCUCAACUCCAGAACGGCCUUUGAAACUAGAUCGCUAGAAUUAUGGAGAGGUAAGUGGAAUUCCGAGUGUAGAGGUGAAAUUCGUAGAUAUUCGGAAGAACACCAGUGGCGAAGGCGACUUACUGGACAUAUAUUGACGCUGAGGUACGAAAGCGUGGGGAGCAAACAGGAUUAGAUACCCUGGUAGUCCACGCCGUAAACGAUGAUAACUAGCUGUUCGGGCUCUCAGAGCUUGAGUGGCGCAGCUACGACAUUAAGUUAGUCCGCCGUGGGAGGUACGGUCGGCGAAGUAAGUUAAACGUUAAAGGUUAAAGUUAGUACGGUUACGUUGAGACGUUGCCGACGGACGACGACGAGGGAGGAGG
rnacentral:rRNA from 1 species